AGCAGCCGCGGUAAUUCCAGCUCCAAUAGCGUAUAUUAAAGUUGUUGCAGUUAAAAAGCUCGUAGUUGAAUUUCGGGAUCGGCAUGUUGGUCGUGCCUUACGGGGUAUGAACUGGCAUCGCCGGUUUCUCACCUUCUGGAGAAUCGUGAUGCUCUUAAUUGGGUGUUACGUGGAUCCAGGACCUUUACCUUGAAAAAAUUAGAGUGUUUAAAGCAGGCAUAUUGCUCGAAUACAUUAGCAUGGAAUAAUAAAAUAGGACGGUUUGGUUCUAUUUUGUUGGUUUCUAGGAUCACCGUAAUGAUUAAUAGGGAUAGUUGGGGGCAUUAAUAUUCAAUUGUCAGAGGUGAAAUUCUUGGAUUUAUUGAAGACUAACUACUGCGAAAGCAUUUGCCAAGGAUGUCUUCAUUAAUCAAGAACGAAAGUUAGGGGAUCGAAGACGAUCAGAUACCGUCGUAGUCUUAACCAUAAACUAUGCCGACUAGGAAUCAGACGAUGUUAAUUUUUUAAAUGACUCGUUUUC
rnacentral:rRNA from 1 species